rnacentral:tRNA from 1 species
GGGCGCUUAGCUCAGUUGGUGGAGCGUCUGCCUUACAAGCAGAAGGUCGGCGGUUCGAUCCCGUCAGCGCCCA